AAAUUGAAGAGUUUGAUCAUGGCUCAGAUUGAACGCUGGCGGCAGGCCUAACACAUGCAAGUCGAACGGUAACAGGAAGAAGCUUGCUUCUUUGCUGACGAGUGGCGGACGGGUGAGUAAUGUCUGGGAAACUGCCUGAUGGAGGGGGAUAACUACUGGAAACGGUAGCUAAUACCGCAUAACGUCGCAAGACCAAAGAGGGGGACCUUCGGGCCUCUUGCCAUCGGAUGUGCCCAGAUGGGAUUAGCUAGUAGGUGGGGUAACGGCUCACCUAGGCGACGAUCCCUAGCUGGUCUGAGAGGAUGACCAGCCACACUGGAACUGAGAC
rnacentral:rRNA from 1 species